rnacentral:rRNA from 1 species
UACGGGGGGAGCAAGCGUUGUUCGGAUUUACUGGGCGUAAAGGGCGCGUAGGCGGUUGGAUAAGUCAGCUGUGAAAACCACGGGCUUAACUCGUGGCCUGCAGUUGAGACUGUCUGGCUUGAGUGUGGGAGAGGAGAGUGGAAUUCCUGGUGUAGCGGUGAAAUGCGUAGAUAUCUGGAGGAACACCGGUGGCGAAGGCGGCAUCCUGGACCAUAACUGACACUGAAUAGCGAAAGCCAGGGGAGCAAACGGG